rnacentral:rRNA from 2 species
AAACCAACAGGGAUUGCCUUAGUAACGGCGAGUGAAGCGGCAAAAGCUCAAAUUUGAAAUCUGGCGCAAGCCCGAGUUGUAAUUUGAAGAAGGUAAUUUUUGGGGAGAUGUUGGCAGAAGUUCCUUGGAAUAGGACGUCAUAGAGGGUGAGAAUCCCGUUUUGCUGACCUCUCUCUCCUUGUAAAAUGCUUUCGAAGAGUCGAGUUGUUUGGGAAUGCAGCUCUAAGUGGGUGGUAAAUUCCAUCUAAAGCUAAAUAUUGGCGAGAGACCGAUAGCGAACAAGUACAGUGAUGGAAAGAUGAAAAGAACUUUGAAAAGAGAGUGAAAAAGUACGUGAAAUUGUUGAAAGGGAAGGGUUUUAAGGGAGACAUGGGAGGUAAUGAACAACUUUCUCUUGGGAAGGUGCACUCGUUGCUUUCUGGGCCAAUAUGGGUUUGAAGAGUGGGAUAAAAGGGAAGGAAUGUGGCCACCUCGGUGGUGUUAUAGCCUUCUCCAAUACUGCUACUUCAGACCAAGGAACGCGAUUCUAGGAUAUUGGCGUAAUCCCUUUAAACCAC